rnacentral:tRNA from 2 species
GGGUGAUUAGCUCAGCUGGGAAAGCACCUCCCUUACAAGGAGGGGGUCGGCGGUUCGAUCCCGUCAUCACCCACCA